rnacentral:rRNA from 1 species
UUGCGGCGGCCAUGGCCCAGGUGAGACGCCCGGUCCCAUUCCGAACCCGGAAGCUAAGGCCUGGCACGGCGAUGGUACUGCACCCGACAGGGUGUGGGAGAGUAGCACGCCGCCGCACCACA